CUGUAUUUAGCCCAUAACAAAUAAAAUACAAUUAUCUAAAUACCCAAAAAUAAAACAUUUAACAUAACCUGUAAAAGUAUAGGAGAUAGAAAUUACAACAUGGCGCUAUAGAGAUAGUACCGCAAGGGAACAAUGAAAGAUUAUACUAAAGCAGCAAACAGCAAAGAUUACUCCUUGUACCUUUUGCAUAAUGAUUUAACUAGAACAUCUUAGCAAAGAGAACUUAAGUUAAGAGCCCCGAAACCAGACGAGCUAUUCAUGAGCAGCUUGACUAGAGCCAACUCACCUAUGUAGCAAAAUAGUGAGAAGACUUAUGAAUAGAGGUGACACGCCUAUCGAGCCUGGUGAUAGCUGGUUGUCCAGAAAAGAAUUUCAGUUCAAACUUAAAUCUACCCAUCAAAUACAAUAAUUCAGCUGUAGAUUUAAGAGAUAGCCCUAAAGGGUACAGCCUUUAGGGCACGGGAUACAACCCUCCCUAGAGAGUAAGCAAACAAAAAAAAACCAUAGUUGGCCUAAAAGCAGCCACCAAUAAAGAAAGCGUUCAAGCUCAACAACACAAGAACCUUAAUCCCAAUAAUAACUGCUAACUCCUAAUACCUAAAACUGGACUAUUCUAUACCCCCAUAGAAGAAAUACUGUUAAUAUGAGUAACAAGAAAUUAAUUCUCCCCGCACAAGUGUAUAUCAGAACGAAUACUCACUGAUAGUUAACGCAUACAAAGCAAAGUAAAAUACAAGCCCUUUAUCACUAACCCGUUAAACCAACACAGGAGUGCCUCAGGGAAAGAUUAAAAGGAGUAAAAGGAACUCGGCAAACAUAAACCCCGCCUGUUUACCAAAAACAUCACCUCUAGCAUUACCAAUAUUAGAGGCACUGCCUGCCCAGUGACGCAAGUUUAACGGCCGCGGUAUCCUGACCGUGCAAAGGUAGCAUAAUCACUUGUUCUCUAAAUAAGGACUAGUAUGAAUGGCCACACGAGGGUCUUACUGUCUCUUACUCCCAAUCAGUGAAAUUGACCUCCCCGUGAAGAGGCGGGGAUAUACAAAUAAGACGAGAAGACCCUAUGGAGCUUUAACUAAUUAACCCAAGAACACACAUUUUUAAACCAAAAAGGAAUAAAAAACUUCUAAUGAGUUAACAGUUUAGGUUGGGGUGACCUCGGAGUAUAAACAACCCUCCGAGCAUUAUAAGUUUAGACCUACAAGUCAAAACCACAUAACUUACUGAUCCAAAUCUCUUUGAUCAACGAAACAAGUUACCCUAGGGAUAACAGCGCAAUCCUAUUUAAGAGUCCCUAUCGACAAUUAGGGUUUACGACCUCGAUGUUGGAUCAGGACAUCCCAAUGGUGCAACAGCUAUUAAAGGUUCGUUUGUUCAACGAUUAAAGUCCUACGUGAUCUGAGUUCAGACCGGAGUAAUCCAGGUCGGUUUCUAUCUAUUAUAUUAAGCUUCCCCCAGUACGAAAGGACAAGAGAAGCAAGGCCACCUUUAGACCAAGCGCCUUACAGCUAAACAGAUGAUACUGUCUCAAUCUGUUAUGCAAAAUCAUACUACCCCCUAGACAAGGGGUC
rnacentral:rRNA from 1 species